AUUGAACGCUGGCGGCAGGCCUAACACAUGCAAGUCGAACGGGUGGCGGACGGGUGAGUAAUUUCUGGGAAACUGCCUGAUGGAGGGGGAUAACUACUGGAAACGGUAGCUAAUACCGCAUACCAUCGGAUGUGCCCAGAUGGGAUUUGCUAGUAGGUGGGGUAACGGCUCACCUAGGCGACGAUCCCUAGCGGGUAUGAGAGGAUGACCAGCCACACGGGAACUGAGACACGGCCCAGACUCCUACGGGAGGCAGCAGUGGGGAAUAUUGGACAAUGGGGGCAAGCCUGAUGCAGCCAUGCCGCGUGUAUGAAGAAGGCCUUCGGGUUGUAAAGUACUUUUAGCGGGGAGGCGGUACCCGAAGAAGAAGCACCGGCUAACUCCGUGCCAGCAGCCGCGGUAAUAC
rnacentral:rRNA from 1 species